rnacentral:rRNA from 1 species
CACGUAGGGCGCAAGCGUUGUCCGGAAUUAUUGGGCGUAAAGAGCUCGUAGGCGGUCUGUUACGUCUGCUGUGAAAACCCGGGGCUUAACCCUGGGCUUGCAGUGGAUACGGGCAGACUAGAGGCAGGUAGGGGAGAAUGGAAUUCCCGGUGUAGCGGUGAAAUGCGCAGAUAUCGGGAGGAACACCGGUGGCGAAGGCGGUUCUCUGGGCAAUUCCUGACGCUGAGGCGCGAAAGCGUGGGGAGCAAACGGG